rnacentral:rRNA from 1 species
CUGGCGGCAGGCCUAACACAUGCAAGUCGAGCGGCAGCGGGAAGUAGUUUACUACUUUGCCGGCGAGCGGCGGACGGGUGAGUAAUGUCUGGGAAACUGCCUGAUGGAGGGGGAUAACUACUGGAAACGGUAGCUAAUACCGCAUGACCUCGCAAGAGCAAAGUGGGGGACCUUCGGGCCUCACGCCAUCGGAUGUGCCCAGAUGGGAUUAGCUAGUAGGUGAGGUAAUGGCUCACCUAGGCGACGAUCCCUAGCUGGUCUGAGAGGAUGACCAGCCACACUGGAACUGAGACACGGUCCAGACUCCUACGGGAGGCAGCAGUGGGGAAUAUUGCACAAUGGGCGCAAGCCUGAUGCAGCCAUGCCGCGUGUGUGAAGAAGGCCUUCGGGUUGUAAAGCACUUUCAGCGAGGAGGAAGGGGUUGAGUUUAAUACGCUCAAUCAUUGACGUUACUCGCAGAAGAAGCACCGGC